CCUACGGGAGGCAGCAGUGAGGAAUAUUGGUCAAUGGCCGGAAGGCUGAACCAGCCAAGCCGCGUGAGGGAGGAAGGCGCAGAGCGUCGCAGACCGCUUUUGCCGGGGGACAAAAGGCCGGACUCGGCCGGUCCUGAGGGGACCCGGAGAAAAAGCAUCGGCUAACGCCGUGCCAGCAGCCGCGGUAAUACGGAGGAGGCGAGCGUUAUCCGGAGUGAUUGGGGUGAAAGGGUGCGCAGGCGGGCCUUUAAGCCGGCGGUGAAAUCGCGGGGCUCACCCCCGCCGAGCCGUCGGAACUGGGGGCCUUGCGUGCGGCGGAGGCAUGCGGAAUGCGCGGUGUAGCGGU
rnacentral:rRNA from 1 species